ACAGGGUGACAGGUGGUGCAUGGUUGUCGUCAGCUCGUGUCGUGAGAUGUUCGGUUAAGUCCGCUAACGAGCGCAACCCUCGCUGUGUGUUAUAUGUGUCACACGGGGACUGCCGGUCUUAAGCCGGAGGAAGGUGGGGAUGAUGUCAAGUCAGCAUGGCCUUUAUAUCCUGGGCUACACACACGCUACAAUGGCCAACACAAUAGGUUGCUAAGCCGCGAGGUGGCGCCAAUCCAUAAAGUUGGUCUCAGUUCAGAUUGUAGGCUGCAACCCGCCUGCAUGAAGAUGGAGUUGCUAGUAACCGCAGGUCAGCUAUACUGCGGUGAAUACGUUCCCGGGGCUU
rnacentral:rRNA from 1 species